rnacentral:lncRNA from 1 species
UGAUGGUGUGUGAGACUUCAAACAAGUUAGAUUUAGCCUAUAGAUCGAGUUAAGAGUGUCCAAAGUCCAACAAAUGGCCUAAAACAGAUUUUGAGGGUGUGAGUUCUGCAAAAUCUGCAUAAAAUCUGCAGAAUUCACGCUCGGGCGCCCCUAACGGGCGCCAUUUUCUGCUGUCUUGUCUGUUUUUGAUAGUUUGGGGGUUCCGGACGUCCGUUUUGGACGUUCUCUAGGUCGUUCUGGGGGUUUUUGACCCUUCCGGAGCCAAUGGUGUGGGUUUCUAAGCUAUUUGAAUUACCUAAGUAUUGGUAAUUUAAGAUUAUAUAGAUAUUUGUAUUAAUAAGUGAUGUUUUUCUGAAAAUAUGUAAUUCUUGUUUCCUCUUCUUCCUUGUGUGAUGAUUCAUGUAUUUGUUAUGGUUCCUCUUAUAUGACUUCUAUUAAUAUUAUUGGAUUGAUCUAUGCUUGAUAAUGUAACAAAACCAAAUUAAUCUCCUAACUUCAUGUAUAACAUUAAGAAUUAAAGUAAGUAAAGUUAGUGUGAAAUGUAAUGUGAUUUAAGUACAUCUCUAGGUGAGAUCAAAUUAAGUUAUGAGAAUGAGAUCUAAGUAAGUUUCUGGAAUGAAUAUAGGUAGCUCAGUCUUGGGGGUUGCCCUUAAAGCUCUAAUGACUAUUCAAUCUCACUUAGAGAAGAUUAGUUCAUGUGGUGAAGAGUAGUAGGGGGUCCUAGUAUUGGUUGUCUCCAUUUUAUAUGGGCUAAGGUGAGUGAUAACGGACUAACCUUGUGUGUGGUAGGGUGAAACCCAUUGGCAAUGGCUUUGNAAAGCAGUAGAGGCCACCACAAGUGCAUGACCCGCCAUAGCUCGAUAUUCAUUCCGGGUCCAGACGAGUCUAAAACUAGCACCACCUAAAUUAAACCAUAACUUUUAAUUUACUAAAACUGUUCUUCUUGGAUUGAAAUGGCUUGAAUGUCUCUUUUAUUAUAUUUAACUGUUAUUGACUUGUUAUCUAUUGAAAUCUAGCUUAUCCUUGCAUGUGUGUUGUCUGUUUUGUUUGUGAUUGUUUCUUCUACGAUGAUCAUUCAAUUAUGGAUGUGAGCAGAGGUAGGAGAGGUUUCAGAGGCCCC